CCAAAAAUUCCCUCAAAAUUCCCAAAAAUUCCCAUUAAAAUCCCCUCAAAACUCCCCAAAUUCCCCAAAUUCCUGGAAUUUUCUCAGAAUUUCCCCCGAGGAUUUUCGGGAUUUUCUGCCCAUCCCAAAACCUGGCUGGACCCUCCCACGAUUUUGGGAAAUUCUCAAAUUUUUUUCCCAUUUUUUGGUUUUUUUUUUGUUUUUUUUUGCACUAUAUUUAUAGGGGGAGCCCCAUUCCAGAAUUUUGGAGAUUUUUGGGGAAAAUUCCUGGGAUUUUGGGUGGAAUUUUGGGGAAUUUUUAAGCAAAAUUCUGGGAUUUUGGGGGAAAUUUCCCAGAAUUUUGGGCAGAAUUCCUGGGAUUUUGUGUGGGAUUUUUUAAGGAAUUUUUUUGGAAUAUUUGGGCAGAAUUCUGGGAUUUUUUUGUGGAUUUUUUUGUGGAAUUUUUUGUGGAAUUUUGGGCCAAAUUCUGGGAUUUUGGGGGGAAAUUUCUGGGAUUUUGUUUGGAAUUUUGGGGGAUUUUGGGGCAGAAUUCCGGGAUUUUGUGUGGAAUAAAUCCAUGGAUGGACAGCCAGGAGUUGGUUUGGAACUGGGAUGAACUGGGAUGAACUGGGAUGAACUGGGAUGGAACUGGGACCAGUCUGGCCCAGUAUCAAACUGGGAAUGGGAGCAGGAUCUGGGCCCAGUAUCAGCCUUGGAAUGGCCCCAGUUUGGACCAGUACGGUG
rnacentral:lncRNA from 1 species